rnacentral:rRNA from 1 species
UACGGAGGGUGCAAGCGUUAUCCGGAUUCACUGGGUUUAAAGGGUGCGUAGGUGGGGCGAUAAGUCAGUGGUGAAAUCCUGCGGCUUAACCGUAGAAUUGCCAUUGAUACUGUCGCUCUUGAGUACGCUUGACGUGGGCGGAAUGUGCCGCGUAGCGGUGAAAUGCUUAGAUAUGGCACAGAACACCGAUAGUGAAGACAGCUCACGAAGGCGAAACUGACACUGAGGCACGAAAGCGUGGGGAUCGAACAGG